GCCGGCGUAGCUCAGUUGGCCAGAGCGGCGAUCUUGUAAGUCGAGGGUCGGGGGUUCGAAUCCCUCCGCCGGCACCA
rnacentral:tRNA from 3 species